GAUCCAAACCGUUCUGUCGCUCUGAUUUCCGUAAGGAAUGUCAGGGAGGAAAGUCCGGGCAGCGUAGGGCACCGCACCCCCCGAUGUACAUCGGGGGGGGUUGCCGGGGUAACCUGGCGAUACAGAUAGUGCCACAGAAACAAGGUAGCCCUGACGCCCCGAUUGAAAUCGGGGGUCAGGGUGAUAGUGAAAUCGUGAGGUAAGAGCUCACGUCCUGCAUAUUUAACAUGUGCGGGAUGGAAAACCUUGCGGGCUGCAAGGCCAAAUAAGUUCCGCUUUUGAAGUUGCCCGCUUCAAUUCUCCCGGUUUACCGGGGGAUGGCGGAACGGGUAGGCCGCUCAGAUAAAUGACAGAAGUGGUAUCAGUGACACCAUACAGAACCCGGCUUACAGGUUUGGGAAGCAG
rnacentral:RNase_P_RNA from 1 species